AGAAGCUGAUAUGAAAUGAGAGCUAACAAAAUAAUAGGCAAAAAAAGAGGCCUGGUAGAUUCCGAUUACCGGGCCUUGGGAAAUGGCUCUGGCAGAGCCGUGCGCUAAAAUUGCCAUUGAGACGUAACAAAGUACACUCUAAUACUAGCUUUCAAUGCACGUUCUUACCAUGUUUAUUAUCAAUAUUUUCACAUAUUAUUAACACAAUUUAUUUCUUGAUUUUAUAAUAUUGAACUAUUUGUUUAA
rnacentral:sRNA from 1 species